CCCUUAGAUGUUCUGGGCCGCACGCGCGCUACACUGAUGCAUUCAACGAGUUUCUUCCUGGUCCGAGAGGAAUGGGUAACCUUUUGAAAGUGCAUCGUGAUAGGGAUAGACUAUUGCAAUUAUCGGUCUUCAACGAGGAAUUCCUAGUAGACGUAGUUCAUCAGACUGCAUCGAUUACGUCCCUGCCCUUUGUACACACCGCCCGUCGCUCCUACCGAUUGAAUGCUCAGGUGAGCCAUUCGGACUUUCAUCAUGCUGGUUUCCAGUUUUGAUGAAGGAAAGUCUUGCGAACCUUAUCAUUUAGAGGAAGGAGAAGUCGUAACA
rnacentral:rRNA from 1 species